UACGUAGGGGGCGAGCGUUGUCCGGAUUUAUUGGGCGUAAAGAGCUCGUAGGCGGUUUGGUAAGUUGGAUGUGAAAUCUCCAGGCUCAACUUGGAGGGGUCAUUCGAUACUGCCAUGACUAGAGUUCGGUAGGGGAGUGUGGAAUUCCUGGUGGAGCGGUGAAAUGCGCAGAUAUCAGGAGGAACACCCGUAGCGAAGGCGGCACUCUGGGCCGGGACUGUCGCUGAGGAGCGAAAGCGUGGGGAGCGAACAGG
rnacentral:rRNA from 1 species